AAAAGAAAUGUCACAAUUGGUACUUUAACAACGGCACUGACCUUUCCAUUGUAAUUAGUAAGUGCUAUUUGUUGGGGUAGUUUGAAGUGA
rnacentral:pre_miRNA from 1 species